UACGUAGGGGGCAAGCGUUGUCCGGAUUUAUUGGGCGUAAAGAGCGUGUAGGCGGUUUGGUAGGUCCGCUGUGAAAACUCGAGGCUCAACCUCGAGACGCCGGUGGAAACCAUCAGACUAGAGUCCGGAAGAGGAGAGUGGAAUUCCUGGUGUAGCGGUGAAAUGCGCAGAUAUCAGGAAGAACACCCGUGGCUAAGGCGGCUCUCUAGUACGGUACUGACGCUGAGACGCGAAAGCGUGGGGAGGGAACAGG
rnacentral:rRNA from 1 species